UACGUAGGGGGCAAGCGUUGUCCGGAAUCAUUGGGCGUAAAGAGCGUGUAGGCGGCUCGAUAAGUCUGCUGUGAAAGUCCAGGGCUCAACCCUGGAAGGCCGGUGGAAACUGUCGGGCUAGAGUCCGGAAGAGGCGAGUGGAAUUCCCGGUGUAGCGGUGAAAUGCGCAGAUAUCGGGAGGAGCACCAAUGACGAAGGCAGCUCGCUGGGACGGUACUGACGCUGAGACGCGAGAGCGUGGGGAGCAAACAGG
rnacentral:rRNA from 1 species